CAAUUCUCCUGCCUCAGCCUCCCGAGUAGCUGGAACUGCAGAUGAGGGAACCAAGACCCUGAGAGGUGAAGUCAUUUGCCUUUGAUGACACAGGAAGUCAGCCAGGGGCUGGGAUUCGUGCCCAGGCUCGUCAAGUGAAGCAAUGAGAGUGGAGAAGGAACAAAGCAAUCUGUAACUAGUUGUGAUCAAUUACUUGUAAACACAAUUGUUUUUUUCAUUUUAGUGUGCCAUUUAGUUUUUUUCUAUUUAUUAUUAUUUUUUGAGAU